CCCGGCCGCAUUCCUCCGCCUCUCUCCUUUUGUUUUUGUUUUGUGAUCCAGUGAAAGAGCUCCAAGAAUUUCGAUCUGUCUCCUUCACCGGCGUGUGUGGUUACGAGUGUUCUUCUUUGUCCCGUGGAAGUGCUGUGGUGCAGCAUCUUCUUCUUUUGUUCGGUGAUCUGCGUGGAGCCUGGGAAUUGGAAGAUCUGGUUUUUUUUCCUGGUGUUUUCUUCUGGAGAUCCAAUUGUGAGGAGUUGCAGCAACUCGGUUUGGAGAAGUAUUGCUGCUGAGAUCCAAGAUUGCUGUUGUUUUUGUUUUUCCUUCUGUGCGGAAAAAGUCAAAGGGAAAGCUGCGGUAGAGGUUCUUCAUUUUCUGCUUGUUCUCUUCGAUUCGACGUAAGGAAAGGCGCAUGCGGCACUGAUCUAGUAAUUCCCGCUGUUUUUUCUUGUGUUUUCCUGUUAAAUGCGGUUGCAUUGCCAGUAGAGACGACUGCGACACUGUAGCAGUUUGUGCCAAGUGGUGGAUUGUAGUUUUGCGGUAUUGUGUAGUGCGGCGGUGCCUCUGCACUAAUCUUGUUCUUUGGAAGUAGCUCUUAGCUGAGGAGAAUCGCAGCAUAUGAUGGUGGUGUAGUAUUGAGAAGGUCGGCGCUUGCAUAUUGAGUUGGUCGUCGACAUCCUACCAAAAAAUCUUGUAAUGUGGCGAAAUCUUUACUUGCAAGUCGAGCUGCAGCUUGGUCGAGGUGCUCUCUUUCCCGUGGUGCUGGCCAAGGUUUGUUCCGGAGUUUGGACAAGAAUGCUAAGCUAGGUUGUAGAGGAUGGUGUUGGAAGUUAAAGUUCUUGACUGUGAAUUGGCUUGCGUGUAAUCGGAGGGCAGAUGCAGCCACUACGUUGAUCAAGGUUGGAGGUCUGAUGCGGGGCUAGCUGCUUCAUCAUAAACUACUGUAGCUGCUGCGCUGACGCCCACGGUCUUGGAUGCAAAAUUUCAUCACUUGCUGCAAGCUGAAAAACCACCGUAGUGCUGCAGCAGGGUCAAAGUCAUUCGUGUCAAUUCCAUAGGAUUGAUUUGGUACUCAAAGUUGUAUAGCAGUCGAAGCAGCGAAGGCGAUUACUUCGUCUCCAACAUUGCUUUUUAGUUACUCUUCAUCCUGUGCUUCUGCAAUCAGGAGCCCCCUUACUGUAUCAAUCUGUCAGUCUGGAGCAUAUUGUGCAUGCCCAAAGAUUAGAUUUAGUUGAUAAGUUACAUGCUAGAUCAUAGAAACUCUUUAGAUUGUUAGGAAGAUCAUAGUGUCGACUUGUUGGAUGCACGAGGUUGGAGAUGCUCAAGGAAUACAGCACUUUUUAAGUGUAUCUCUUGGUGGAGCAAAGAUUGGAGAAAAAUCAUGCAUGGUUGAUGGGCAAGGAAUACAAGUAAGACAAUCCAGUGAGCAGCAUAUGUAGGGUGGAGAUGUAAUUUAUUAUUAUAAGUGUGAGUUGGUAGUAGAGAUUUUGUUUGACUACUAAGGUGAUUUAAGGAGUUUUAAGAGUAGAUUAAAUUGGAUUGAACAAGAGCUAUAAAUUCUAGAAUUUACAUAGUUAAUUCACUUGUUGUGAAUUAGAAUAAACUUCCAACUAGUGGAGGUUUAUUUUAGCUUACAAUGGUUCAAUGAUGUGAAUAUCAUGCAACAUGUACAUAGAGUGUUGUGUUGCACAUGAAUAAAAGAUAAGGUGAUCAUUGCAAACUUUUUCA